CCUACGGGAGGCAGCAGUGAGGAAUAUUGGUCAAUGGACGAGAGUCUGAACCAGCCAAGUAGCGUGAAGGAUGACUGCCCUAUGGGUUGUAAACUUCUUUUAUAUGGGAGUAAAAUGUUCCACGCGUGGGAUUUUGUAUGUACCAUAUGAAUAAGGAUCGGCUAACUCCGUGCCAGCAGCCGCGGUAAUACGGAGGAUCCGAGCGUUACCCGGAUUUAUGGGGUUUAAAGGGAGCGUAGGUGGAUUGUUAAGUCAGUUGUGAAAGUUUGCGGCUCAACCGUAAAAUUGCAGUUGAAACGGGCAGUCUUGAGUACAGUAGGGGUGGGGGGAAUUCGUGGUGUAGCGGGGAAAUGGUUGG
rnacentral:rRNA from 1 species